UUGGCUGUCAGGCCUCGGCUGGGUCCUAACGCCAAGAACGCUUCAUAGAGCCGUAGCGCCCUCUAGCCGCUGCCCAACGUUAGCGACUCCAACCCUGGACAUCAGGAGCUUCCUACCCAUCAGGAGCUUCCCAGGAGGAAAGUGGUGUUUACAUGUUGUUGCUUGCAGAGCCACAGCCUGAGAGUCCCCAAAGAGCGGCACUGCCGUCUGCCCUCGUGCAGGAGCAGCCGGCCAGUACCGUCGGGGCAGCCACCACUCACCCUCAGCAGCUCCUCUUCACCCUGCUCCUUCACAAACACCUCUUCCAGCUCCUGGUUGAGCCCUUCUAGGCUUCUGUGCAGACAAGGGCUGAGUCGCAGGACGGGGGGUCCUGGGGGGUGGCUGGGAAGGGAUGCCUACAGAGAGGCAAAUGAAGCCAUCAGAUGAUGUCCCUCCGCACUCAGCCCCAACAGUUAUCAGCUAUGACUGGAGGGAACGAUCAUGUCCAUAAAGCGUUUUU
ensembl:antisense Gm29477 predicted gene 29477